rnacentral:tRNA from 1 species
UGGGCUGUAGCUCAGUGGUAGAGUACUUGCCUAGCAAGCACAAGGCCCUGAGUACAAUCCCCAGCAACACAC